AGGUGAACCUGCGGAAGGAUCAUUACCGGGAGAGAAGCUUCGUGCUUCCCAGGGGGCCGAAACCCCUGAGAGGAAAAGC
rnacentral:rRNA from 1 species